AACGAACGCUGGCGGCAGGCUUAACACAUGCAAGUCGAGCGCCCCGCAAGGGGAGCGGCAGACGGGUGAGUAACGCGUGGGAACGUACCCUUUGCUACGGAAUAGCUCCGGGAAACUGGAACUAAUACCGUAUGUGCCCUACGGGGGAAAGAUUUAUCGGCAAAGGAUCGGCCCGCGUUGGAUUAGCUAGUUAGUGGGGUAAUGGCCUACCAAGGCGACGAUCCAUAGCUGGUCUGAGAGGAUGAUCAGCCACAUUGGGACUGAGACACGGCCCAAACUCCUACGGGAGGCAGCAGUGGGGAAUAUUGGACAAUGGGCGCAAGCCUGAUCCAGCCAUGCCGCGUGAGUGAUGAAGGCCUUAGGGUUGUAAAGCUCUUUCACCGGAGAAGAUAAUGACGGUAUCCGGAGAAGAAGCCCCGGCUAACUUCGUGCCAGCCGCCGCGGUAAUAC
rnacentral:rRNA from 1 species